UUUUAGGGGCUGUAAUUCAAAGUGGGAUUUCUUGGUUUAACAGGACAGCAAAAAUGAGCUGUAAUUGUGACCCAGAGUCAGUUCUUGGCAUCAUUGAAAGUACCCCUUAAUUACCAAGUAUCAGUGGAAAAUGCUGUACUCUUCUGUUUAUCAUACAGACACGAUUACAGGAAAAGGAGAUUGCAAAUAUGACCAGUUUUAUAUGACUGUUUUUCAAACCUGCCAUGAUAUUACAGAAUUUAGACUUCAGAAUUUAUACUUAAUUUAUAUGUUAGGAAUUGCUUUCAGAUUAAGUGGCUGAAAGCUGGGCAUGAGUCUUCUUUGUGAGAUUUCUUCCUGCAAAUUAAUUGAUUAAAAAAAAAAGCAUAGCAUAUUUAGAUUCUCUGGAUAUUAAUGAGAUGAUUGGCUACUUGUACUGCCAUAAUCAGGAUGUUUUUAUCUGGUUUACAAAAUAUUGUUAUAUGUGCCUGAAUAUUUUUACAUUUUUGUGCCUGAAUAUUUUUACAUUUUUGUGAGAAAAUUUCCUGUAUUUUACAAAGGGCAAAUUAAAAGAAAGCACCAAGAUAACAGUCAGAAAAUAUGAUUUCAGGAGUAAACAGAUAGGAAGCAUCAUGUAGAGUUAAGCAUAAAAGUCAGGAAGUAGAUAGAGAGGAAAACCAAAUCAAUUUUCCAGAUGGAAAUAUGAAUGAAAAGCAGCAACUCUGAGUUUUAAGAGGCAGAGAAGAGAAAACAUACGCUUUUUUGAAUGAACUCAAGAGUAGCAAGGCAAGAAGUAUAGUGGAUAGAGCAAGAAGCACUACAAUAGUCCUCAUGGGAAAUAUGAUGGAUAUAUAGAAAGGUGCAUGCCACAUUUUAGGGGAAAAUACUGUAUUCUGGAAACACUGACAUGAGAACUGAUAGAAUUUAGCAACUUUUUAGAUAUUAGGUUCUAAGAUAUUGGAUUUUAGUAUAACAGGAACAGUGGGUUUGACUGCAGAGAUUUUUGAAUUUAAAACUGGAUUAAUGAAAUUUACUGUAUUCAAUUUUUACCAUGCUGAUUUUUUUCUUGAGUGAUUGUUCUUCCACAGGGAAUUGGAGUUCUGAAGUUGAAAACGGGUGAGGGUUUCAGUUUGAAAGGAGAAUUUAAAAUUAUUUUCAGAAGCAGGGUGUGUUGAAGUCAAAGAUGAAAAGUAAUGGUGGAAGAGUUUGAGUUGGGGAAUGUCAUCUAAGGAAAAUGUGACCCUCGCAGGAGAGAUGGUGGAUCCAGAAAUUCCAUAAUACAUUUGUGAUAUUGAUAACUUCAGGAGAUUAAAGAGCUGAUUAGGAAGAAUCCAGAAGGAAGUAAAACACAGAAAUUAGGAACAUGUUUUAGUAGGGUUUUUUGAAUUAAAUGAUAGGACUAGACAGAAGAGAGGAUGUUUGAGGAUGAAGCAAAAGAGUGAAUGAACAAAAAAGUAGAAGGAUGUGGAUGUCAUGAAGAGAAGGGCUGAAUAGGAUAAAUUUUGGUAAAAACACAUACUAUACGAAGUGUAGCAGAAGAGUAUCAUAAACAAUAAUUAGAGCUUCUCUUUGUUAAGUGUGGAAGAGAUGGUUUAGGACAAGCUGUAAAGGUAGAGAUUCAAUUACAACUUCAAGAGAAGAGGAUGUUCUGGUUUAGCAAGUCUAAUCUGCAACCAAGAGAUGCAACAGUAUCACCUAAUCCUGUUCCAUGGCUAUGCCAAAUGUGACCUUUAACUCAAACUUCAAUUUUUAAAUGGAAUUGAAAAAAUUUAGGAGAAGUAGAGGAAGUAUGAAGACUUUCUUGAGAAGUUCUCAGCAACCUCUCAAUAGAAGAGAAGGUAAAUGCAUGUGAAUUAAGACUUCUUUAGUGGAUAGAUGAUGAAAGAUAAAAAGAAAAGGAAUCAUAGUAAGAGUCAUUGUUGAAACUGGUGGUAGGGACUGAUAGAAGAGGGGAGAAACACCACACACUUUUAUUAGGCAGACCAGUGUGCUUUCUACAUGCAUUACUACCUGUUCUUGUAAAAUGUUUAGUAUUCCCAUAUGGUUAUCCAUAGAUAUCUAUCUAAUUCUCUUAAUUACUAUAUUUUAUAGAAUAGAUAUGAUAGUAAAGCUUACAUCUUGGGGAAGGACAAAUGCAUCAUGGUGGCAUAACCUUUUUUCACUGAAAACCAUGGAGAGGUAAACGAAUGAGAUUGCUACUAUGCCUUAAGUCUGUGAUUUGUUUGGUUAUAUGUGUGGACUGAAGUGGCAGAAGAGCAGCCAUCUCUGUUAUUUUGAAAUGACAUUGUUAUAACAAACUCUGCUAUUUUGAAUAACUUUGGGACCCCACCUGGAGGACUGCAUCCAGCUCUGGAGUCCUCUGUACUGCAAAGACAAGGAUCUGUUGGAGGAGGUCUGGAGGAGGCUACAUGCAUGAUCACAGGUCUGGAGCACCUCUCCUAGGAAGACAGACUGAAUCAGUUGGGUUGUUCAGCCUGGAGAGAAGAAGGCUAUGGGGAGACCUUAGAGCAGAUGACCAGCAUUUGAAAGGAGCUUACAAGAAAGGUUUCUUCUCCUACACCAAAUGAGUGUACUUAAUUCCUAAAAGACUCAACAGAAUGAAGCAUCAGACUAUAAUCAGAAUGGUAUAAAAUGUGGUGUUGUCAGAGAGAUGUCUUAUGGGCAGGCUAAUGAUGAGAGAUUUGGGAAAUCUGCUCCUUGAAUUGCCAAAGGGUUUUUGUCUCUGUGCACUUUCUUUGUCUAUGAAUGGAUACAAUAGCAUUUACAUUCCGAAGCAGUGGUAUCUUUUUGAGUGGAAGUACCAUGAGAUGCUCAGACUUGCUACAACAAGUAAGUAAAAGGUCUUUUAGUGCUCUAAGCCAAAAACAGUCCCAAAUCUUAAGCAGGCAUUUGUGCUUUUCCUGUAUCUCCUAUUCUUCAGUUAUUUUCUGAAAUUUGGUAAGACUUGAGGUGGUCAAGAAGGUGAUGAACAGUGAAAACAGAUAAUAUUUUUCAUGAAUUGAGUGUUUAGAGAUACUACAAUUCACAGUUCUCCAAACUGUGUCCAAAUGUUCCCUUUUCAAGUGUUAAGACUUGUUUAAAAAUAGAAUAUUCUUCAUGAAAGAAAAAAAAAAACCAAGCACAUCAACCUACAG